CGGCGCGUUUGGAACUAUAACGGAAUCUUGUCCUCCCAUGUGUUCUCUCUUCCUAGAUUCCAAGCAAAUCUUACCAUUCAAAAUACCUUAGCCUUGGAUGUGUGGAUUAUAGGAUACGCAUUAAAUGUAGCAAGGCAGGAAGAAAAAAACACUAACGCCAUACAAUUCUAAAAGGUCCCAUUGGAGAAUGGCUGUCUAUAAUAUUACACUAAACACAAGGACAUCCUCAGACCACAUAAAAUGACCCACACAUCUAAGAAUAAUGUGUGUUGUGAAACUGCCUCAUUUUAACGGGAAAUCAACGGCUGUAAUCUAUAUUUCUGUCAGCGAAGAGCAGGCAAGUGAAAAGCAAGUGAUGUGGACAUGCAUUGAACAAUUUUUAAGAAGUAAAUCUGUGCUGUAUGAAAUAUAAAACACUGCGGAACCUUGUAACAGAAUGGCAUGAUUACAGAAAGGCAUUUGAUUAUGUCCUCUAUUCAUGGCUUCUGAAGUCACUCUAGCUUGCAAAAGUCCUUGUUAAGCAUACUUACUGCACACAAAAAGCUUACGAAGACCUGGCCUACAACCCUCAAAGCUACAACUCAAACUAGAAGACUGUCUACGAUGAUAUAAUAGAAGCUAUCUGGACAUCUAUCUAUUUUUGCUAUGAACCCACUCAUAUCUUUUAGGAAAAUCUAAAUAGAUAUUUGGGACAGUAAGAAAAUUCGUGUAUAUUUAUAGAAUUCAAAUACUCUGAAGAUAUAAACAUCUCUUCCAAAAUCAACAAAAGGAUUAUUUCAGCAAUGACCAUUGCGAUAAAUGCGAAUUCAUAAUCAGAUUAGAAAACCUGUAGGUUUUCAGGCAGACGUCCAAAACUACUCCCCAUUUCACUGAGUUGGGGAAGAGAUGUUCAAAAUAUUAACUGUCUAAUUUAGUGAAUGUCAAAGUGACAAUCUGGAAAUUGUACGGUUUUCGGACGAGGAAAGAUAGCGGUAAGCACGCACUUUGCAGAUGAAAUAUGUAAGUGGAAUAGUAAAAUAUGCAAGACAUUUGUAAAGUUCAGCACGGAACAUUAAUCUUUGUUACCAAAAUUCCGGCUACGGAUUUUUUUGUUUUUGUUUUAGUGAAACAAGCUCCUCCCUUUCAGAAAGCAUUUUAAUAAGUAAAAGAAAAAAAGUGAAAAUGCAACGGCCAAACGACUAUAAAGCGACGCCCACGUCAGUUGGUGUUUGAUAUUGUUGUUGUCACUGAUGAUGAUGAUGAUGAUGAUGAUGAUAACGUUCCAAAUACUAAUAUCAGUUAUGUCGGACAGAUGGAAUAAUAAUUGGUGUCCAUAUAACGCCAAAUAUAUUGCUGCAAUUAUGUUUAAAUAUAAAUGCCGAGGUAUUUUUCGACAUUGAAGUCUGGGAGAUUCCGGUGACCUUACAGGUCAAUACUCCAGUACCAUCAACACCGCCGGUAGCACUGCCUCCACCACCACCACCACCACCACCAUUGUCAGUUACAGUACACCUCAACUGUACACAUGUGGACACGGCAAUCAAUUUACUACGCUUAACUUCUAAGGUGGAAUUACAUCAAGUGUUUUGUAAGGAGCAUUUUCCUUUAAAAGCAAUGUUACUGGUCAAGCAUACCUCACAUGUCUAUUUUACCUGCCAUGCAUGCAUUUUAUGGAAAUGUUGAAAUUUACUUCAGCUAGACGGCGCACUUCCACAAUACCGCAGAAACGUUCUAGCUUACAUGGAUGGGAAUAUGCAGUGACACUGGAUAGGCCGAAGAGGUGCAGCUGAAAUCCUCACACGUUCUGAUUUAACAUUUGCACAAUGUUACAAAAGGGGUAUCUUAAAGGAAGUCGUAUACUGCUGAAAAUCAGCUGCAAGGUGGUCCUUCCGGAAGAAAUUAAUACAGCAUGUGCAGCGAUCCCACUGGACACUUUGUCUAACAUUGCCCAAGCAGCGGUUGACCAUGCUAAUAAAUGUCUGGAAGCUAAUGACCACCAGUUUUAGCAUAUCUUGUAAUUUCAGCAAAUUAUA